rnacentral:lncRNA from 1 species
AGAGAGAGAGAGAGAGAGAGUACAUUAGAAUGAAACAUAAAUGAAGAGUAGAAAACAAGCUUACAGAAUUUUGGACAGAUUUUAUAAUACUCGAAGAUGAAGAAUCAGACUUAUCGCCUGCGGCCAUUGCAACUACAGUCCUGCCCCUUUGGAUUCCUGAAACAAAAAGUAAUAAUUUAAAAAGAGAGUACGAAAACAGAUUUUCAAAAUGAUAAGAGUUCAAGGAAUAAUUCAGAAGUUUUUAGAGAGAGAGAGACUUAUUAUUUAGGCCACCAAAGCUUGAAUUCAGUAAAUAAUAGACAAAUAGCCAGGAAUUUCAUAAUGAAUUAACAUGAGAGUGAGAAAAGUUUUAUUCUUUAUAUGGAAUCAUAAAGUAAAAUGCUCAAACCCAAAUUCAAAUGAGAAAAAGUUGAACACUACAGAGAGAGAGAGAGAGAGAGAGAGAUUCUCACAUUGAGUGGACAAAAUCCCCAAAAUUUCUAAAGUGAGAAAACAAAUCAAGCUCAUAAAACAACAAAGCAAAACAUGGUGAACAUUCUAUCCUACUGUAAUUUCCAGCAAAAACAACAAUAAACUCCCCCAAAAAUAACCCAACAAAAUAAACAAGACAUAGCUCCAUCUCUCUCUACAAGUAUGCAACUCUAUCUUAUAUUCAUUCAUAGGAAACAUGAAAAAGACUCAUCUUUUCAUUCUUAUUUUUAUCAAUACAUGAAUAGAAAGAUAAAAUUAGCAACAAAAAAGUUCAAAUUUUGAAGUACAUAACUUACUUCCAAGAUUCAAAGAUGGGCUCUGAGGAAAUGACCCAUUGACUCUAAUGGGUACUCUUCUAUUGCAGAGGAUAGCAGGAAAUGCGGUCGCAAAAAUGGAGGCCAUUGUUUCCUUGAACUGCCAGAAAUUCUAGAGAGAGCCUGGGCUAUAAAAACAAAGACAUAAUAAUAAUAUGAAAAAGUUUAUAUAGAGCCUAGGCUCUAAACAAUCAAAUUAGAGCCAACCUAAAAAUUUUAUUAGAAGAGGCUCUUUUGAUGUUCAAAUACUUUCAAAUUGAUCAUCUCGAUAUCAAGAUACAUGGACAUUAGAAAAAAAUAGAUUUCAAGUUUUGAAAAUAAUGCAACUUGUAACACAUUUUUAGACCGUCAAUUUUUAAAAUUUUCAAGUUUUUAUAGAUAUGCUCGAUGUUCUAUAUUUUUUAAGCUUUAAAUUUUAUAAUUAAAGAUAAAAAUAUAUUUUAAGGCUAAUACAAAAAUUUUUAGUUUUAUAUUUUUUAAGCUUUACAUUUUAUAAUUAAAAAUAAAAAUUUAUUUUAAGGCUAAUACAAAAAUUUUAUGUGUUGAAACCACAUUUUUCGACACUAUUUGAAAGUGUGCUUUACUUUGAUGGUUUAGAGUCUCGACUUUAUACAAACUGCGCCUAUAAUAAUAAUUAUGUGGUCAUUUUUCAUACGUCGGAAUAGUGGCUUGCUGGUGAAAGAGGGAGGGAGGGUGGAAAGGGUGAAAAUAAACAUAAAUAAACAGCCGAAAUUAGUUAGGGUUUCAUAUAGCACAAUAAUAUCAUAUCGAAAUCAAAAUUACAUAGAAAAAGUUAUUUUUAUACCUCAGUUUUGUAUAUAUAUGAGAGAGAGAGGUACUACUUUCAAUUGGGUUGCUUUGAUUACUCAGUUUUAUUGAGAGAGAGGGAGAGAGAUUUUUUUUAGUUGGGUCUUUUUGAUACCUCAAUUUGUUUAGAGAGAGAGAGUAGUGUUGGGUUAAGGAAAGAUGAGAGAGAGACGUCUUAUUACAGUUGAGUUGUUUUGAUACCUCAAUUUGUUUAGAGAGAGUAUAGUGUUUGCGUAAGGAAAGAUGAGAGAGAGAGAGGUCUUAUUUUCAGUUGAGUUGUUUUUAUACCUCAGUUUUGUUAAGAGAGAGAGGGAGAUAUAUUUUUUUUUU